rnacentral:tRNA from 2 species
GCCGGGGUGGUGAAACUGGUAGACACGCGAGACUCAAAAUCUCGUGGGCAUUUGCCCGUGUGGGUUCGAGUCCCACCCCCGGCACCA